CCUACGGGUGGCAGCAGUGGGGAAUAUUGCACAAUGGGGGAAACCCUGAUGCAGCGACGCCGCGUGAGUGAAGAAGUAAUUCGGUAUGUAAAGCUCUAUCAGCAGGGAAGAAAAUGACGGUACCUGAGUAAGAAGCCCCGGCUAACUACGUGCCAGCAGCCGCGGUAAUACGUAGGGGGCAAGCGUUAACCGGAUUUACUGGGUGUAAAGGGAGCGUAGACGGGAGUGCAAGUCUGGAGUGAAAGGCGGGGGCUCAACCCCCGGACUGCUCUGGAAACUGUACGGCUGGAGUGCAGGAGAGGUAUGUGGAAUGCCUGGUGUAGCGGUGAAAUGCGUAGAUAUUAGGAAGAACCCCGGUGGCGAAGGCGGCUUACUGGACUGUAACUGACGUUGAGGCACGAAAGCGUGGGGAGCGAACAGGAUUAGAUACCCUUGUAGUC
rnacentral:rRNA from 1 species